rnacentral:rRNA from 1 species
CUACGGGACGCACCAGUGGGGAAUAUUGGACAAUGGGGGAAACCCUGAUCCAGCAAUGCCGCGUGUGUGAAGAAGGCCUGCGGGUUGUAAAGCACUUUCGGUUGGGAGGACUGCUUCUAGCACUAAUAUUGUUGGAAGUUGACGUUACCUUCAGAAGAAGCACCGGCUAACUCCGUGCCAGCAGCCGCGGUGAAUACGGAGGGUGCAAGCGUUAAUCGGAAUUACUGGGCGUAAAGCGCGCGUAGGCGGCUAGAUCAGUCGGGUGUGAAAGCCCCGGGCUUAACCUGGGAACUGCAUCCGAUACUGUCUAGCUUGAGUACAGGAGAGGAGAGUGGAAUUCCACAUGUAGCGGUGAAAUGCGUAGAUAUGUGGAGGAACACCAAUGGUGAAGGCAGCUCUCUGGCCUGAUACUGACGCUGAGGUGCGAAAGCGUGGGGAGCGAACAGGAUUAGAUACCCCGGUAGUC